AUGAUGUAUGACAUGCAAAGUUCCAAACGGUCCUCCUUAGCGCUUCCCUGGUUUCACAGCUCCUUUUUUACCACUAGGUGGUCCUUGGCCCUUACCCCCUGCUCUUCCUUUACCUUUGCCCUUCCCACCACCACCCUUUCCUUUUCCAGAGAAGUUACCACCCUUGCGUCCCUUCUUUCCCCCCUUCUUAAAUUUCGCUGCAGACUCCUCUCGGUCAUCCUCUCGCAUUUGUUUGUUUACAGCUUUGUUGACGUCCAGACGAGGUUUCUUACUGUCCAUCACUUUCAGCAGAUCCAGCUGCCUCUAAUUGGAGAUGAGCAAAAAGAUCAUCAAGAACAACAACCACCUGAGCCAUCACUACCCACAUCGACGAGGAUCAGCUGCCUCUAAUUGGAGAUCAUCCCAAACAAAACUACAACAUAGAAAUACAAAACUAGAACCUGAAAACAUAGAAAUGGAAAACAUAGAAAAAAAACCCUGUCACGCCCUGACCUACUCUACCAUAGAAAAUAACAUCUUUCUAUGGUCAGGAUGUGACAUACACGCGAAUAUACUAUAAUUUAAUAUGCCUACACACAAAUAUACUAUAAUUUAAUAUGCCUACACACUAAUAUACUAUCGUUUAAUAUGCCUACACAUGAAUAUACUAUCAUUUAAUAUGCCUACACACUAAAAUACUAUCUAUCGUUUAAUAUGCCUACACACUAAUAUACUAUCGUUUAAUACUUUACCUCUCUAUUUCCCUGGUUGCACUUGUUGCCUCUAAACUGCAUUAACACUUUUCAUCACAUGAUCUGCAGAGGAGUAUGAAUCAUUUAACUGAUGAAGUCUGACAUGUAGACACCUUCAACCUUGGUGACAUUUACCCCUAUCGACGUUCUAUGUCACUCAGCCCAGAACAAGAUGUCACUGUAGCGUCUGGCAAUCACUUACGUUGAUGACUUCUAAAAAAUAAACAGUCCACUGUUUCUCUGACGGUCUGCUCUCUUGACCCCUUCCUCUCUUUCCCUCUCUCUCUAUUCCACUCUCUCACUUGUUGACUCUCUAUCUUUCUCUCUCUCAUGCAUCCUCAGAUCAUGCGCAGACCAGUUGGCUGGUGUGUUUACGGACAUUUUCAAUCUCUCCCUAUCCCAGUCUG
rnacentral:lncRNA from 8 species